AUUGAACGCUGGCGGCAGGCCUAACACAUGCAAGUCGAACGGUAACAGGAAGAAGCUUGCUUCUUUGCUGACGAGUGGCGGACGGGUGAGUAAUGUCUGGGAAACUGCCUGAUGGAGGGGGAUAACUACUGGAAACGGUAGCUAAUACCGCAUAACGUCGCGAGACCAAAGAGGGGGACCUUCGGGCCUCUUGCCAUCGGAUGUGCCCAGAUGGGAUUAGCUAGUAGGUGGGGUAACGGCUCACCUAGGCGACGAUCCCUAGCUGGUCUGAGAGGAUGACCAGCCACACUGGAACUGAGACACGGUCCAGACUCCUACGGGAGGCAGCAGUGGGGAAUAUUGCACAAUGGGCGCAAGCCUGAUGCAGCCAUGCCGCGUGUAUGAAGAAGGCCUUCGGGUUGUAAAGUACUUUCAGCGGGGAGGAAGGGAGUAAAGUUAAUACCUUUGCUCAUUGACGUUACCCGCAGAAGAAGCACCGGCUAACUCCGUG
rnacentral:rRNA from 1 species